AUGAAAUUUGCCACCCACAUAAUGCUCCACCCACAUGUAUACAGGAAACAACUGGCUAGUAAAUCAAUUUAGCAUGGGGUCUGGGCAUGCUUAUGCUCAGGAACAUGGUGUCGCUGGUCACAAACCAUACGUGCCGUUUUAUGUGGCUCAGAAUGGCCUGGAGGUUCACGCACGUACGCACCGUUUCAGCAUGUCAACAAUGAGGUGUGUUCCGAACGCAGAGCUGAUUGACUGCAGGUAAAUGGCUGUCACCAACCUACCUUUGUGGUGGGUGUGGCGAGUCAAACGUACAAACUUUAUGGUCUGGGACACCCAGAAGCCCUUGCAUAUCUGAACUCUGAGGAUCAGCAAAAAAAUAUUGGUAGCGAAAGAAGUCCAUCUAGACAAGACUCUCAUUGUGAGGAAGGACAUACCAGGCCUCUCCCUUUCCAUUGGCUUUCUGAUAAAAAGAUCUGAGACCAGGAAUACAGCAAACAUCAAGAACGCAUGGCAACUUGCCUAACGUGUUACAGGAAACUAGUAACUACCCUGUGGCACAGGUCUUCACCUGGGUGUGCUGACAGCCCUGUGACCUGUGAAUGGCUUGAAGCAGGUUAUACCAGCAACACCCCCUUCAUUAUCCUUUUAAAAGAGGUUUUGAAAGAGAAGGAGAAAUAGAUAAUUAGAAGGGGUUUUGGGGGGGGGGUUAGAGAGAGACAGAAGGAAAACAGAGGGAGAAAGAUAACGGAGGGGGGAUGGUAGGUUUGUUUAAAGUAGAUUAGCAUUUUUAAAAAAUUGCUUGGUGGGUGCUGAAUUUCUACUAACUCCCGGGGCUUACCUGACAACCAUAUUUAUUUGGAUUAUCAGAACAUUACCUGCCUUCCUUGGAACACAGUCUCACAAUGUUACCAGCAUGUUCUCAGUUUUGACGUAUAUUAGCAUUAGGAGAUUUAAGAACCUCUGCAGGAAUAAAAAUGUAGACAUUUAUAACUUUCACGUGUGUUGUAAGAAAGAGAAUAAUUCAGCGCUUACUAUGGGGGGCUUUGUCCUCCAAAAUAUGAAAAGGUAGAGGUCUCCAUGCAUCGUUCUCAAAGCUCAGCACGCCACUGUAAAUUAUACAUAUUACCUUGUGCAUGACAAGACAUGGAAUUGCUUUGGUUUUUCAUUUGAAGAUGCUCACAUCAUGGUUUUUGUACUACUUAUUAAGGUCAACCCCUGGUUAUAGGUUACCCACAGGACAGAGGCAUGCAGGGCAUGGAAUGAAACCUUCCAAAAGCUUAUCCACCCAUGUUUUCUCCUGCCAAUUAAAGGCUUCGUAGCUGGGCCUGACAUAGGGCAGUGGUGAUUUCAUAUGUCAAGGAGAGCUAAUGCACUUGUAAUUGAUUAUUUUUCCUAGGUCUAUCUAUCCUCAGGGGAG